rnacentral:rRNA from 1 species
GACGAACGCUGGCGGCGUGCCUAAUACAUGCAAGUAGAACGCUGAAGGAGGAGCUUGCUCUUCUGGAUGAGUUGCGAACGGGUGAGUAACGCGUAGGUAACCUGCCUGGUAGCGGGGGAUAACUAUUGGAAACGAUAGCUAAUACCGCAUAACAGUAGAUGUUGCAUGACAUUUGCUUAAAAGGUGCAAUUGCACCACUACCAGAUGGACCUGCGUUGUAUUAGCUAGUUGGUGGGGUAACGGCUCACCAAGGCGACGAUACAUAGCCGACCUGAGAGGGUGAUCGGCCACACUGGGACUGAGACACGGCCCAGACUCCUACGGGAGGCAGCAGUAGGGAAUCUUCGGCAAUGGACGGAAGUCUGACCGAGCAACGCCGCGUGAGUGAAGAAGGUUUUCGGAUCGUAAAGCUCUGUUGUAAGAGAAGAACGAGUGUGAGAGUGGAAAGUUCACACUGUGACGGUAUCUUACCAGAAAGGGGCGGCUAACUACGUG